rnacentral:rRNA from 1 species
UACGAAGGGGGCUAGCGUUGCUCGGAAUGACUGGGCGUAAAGGGCGCGUAGGCGGCGAUCACAGUCAGAUGUGAAAUUCCUGGGCUUAGCCUGGGGGCUGCAUUUGAUACGUGGUUGCUUGAGUGGGGAAGAGGGUCGUGGAAUUCCCAGUGUAGAGGUGAAAUUCGUAGAUAUUGGGAAGAACACCGGUGGCGAAGGCGGCGACCUGGUCCUUGACUGACGCUGAGGUGCGAAAGCUAGGGGAGCAAACGGG